AUUUAAAGCUAAUGGGGUCGGGGUGACAGGAUUACGGAGAAAAGCUGCAGUAAUGAGCUUUUGAUGUCGUGCCGGCUAUCUGUCAACUGUUUGGAGGAUUUGCCAAGCCUGAUAGGAAUAUACCAAUACGCCUCACACAGUCCUGGAAUCUGGUUAAGUAAUAAAUAAAUUCGACAGUGAACUCUCGGCUCAUGGCGUGAACCGUUUGAGGUGUUUUGGAGCAGCCUGCGGUCAGCCCGAGGCGGAAUCACACCGAUUUGGCUUUCGGGGAGAGGAAAAAAAAAAAAAAGGGUUUGUGUUCGAUUAUCCCGAGAUUUAGGAUGGCGAGACCUUCUUCAUUUGGGAUUGCAGAGUCUCCAGACGGUAAUUUUUACUCCCCAUAAGCUCAUAAAGAGAACAAAAG
ensembl:lncRNA